CCGGAGAGGCCACGAUCCCGGGGCUCGCUUCGGCGGUGCCGGUGGCCGAGCACCCGGAUAUCCUGCUGGCACGGGAUCAAAUGGUGGAUGAAGGCGAAGCCACCACCACGCGCCCCGAGUCGUUCGACUAAAUCAUCACAAGUAAUGACGGAGCUGUCUCUGCGGGUAGAUGUCCUGCCAGCCACGUGCCAGUGGACCAGUGGUAACAAGACGAGAUGGAGGUCCCGGGCCAAGACUGUGUCCCUGACCAAAUGUUGUAACAGAAGUACCGAGGUCCCAGGUGUUUUUGACUCACGUGUAGACAUUCCUUCUAAUGAAGUCUAAUAGCUGCGGGGCUGGCACAGAACUUGGUGGCUGGAUGCAGUGUGUCGAUGUUUUUAGUUUGGUGAAGUCGACUUGGUGUCGGUCUCACACGUUACAGAUGUGACUUCUAGAAAGAAUCGUUUUUAUUAGAAAGUCUCGGGACUCUAAUUUCAGGAAGUCAUUUUGGGUAAGGUGAAUGCCUAUAAUGAAAGAAUUUGGACCUCUUCCAAGAAACAGGCUGGAAAAUUCCCCUGCGGUUAUGUCAUUGGAAGUGCUUUCUGCUUUCCCAGGUCCAGUUCUCCUCCCGCUGCAGUUGUUACGCUGUGGCUAUCCCUGCCCUCAAGAUGCGCACAAUAGAAAUGGGAGACAGAGUCGUGCCCACUCUAGAGAACAGAGAAAAGUCUAAAAUAGAGAUGGUACAACAUGCUCUGGGAAGAAGAAAUAAGUUCACCAGGACAGCAGGAGGGGUGUGAAGAGAAAUGAUUGGAAAUACAUGUGUAUUCUCAACACAGAAGUUUUGUGUGUUUUUUUUAAAUUCAGGACUUGAAAUCUCCAACCACAUCUACCUAUUCAUCAUUCCAGACAUUUUGCUACUUGGUAAUGCAUUCUUUGGAAAUAUUUGACUUAAAUUAUCACUAAGAAGCAACAAGAAAGAGAAACUUCCUUUUUUGGAUAGCCAAUUUUGAUAAUAAAGCUUGCACCGUUUCAGGAUGUGAAGGACACGUCAUGGGCUUGCAGUAUUCCAGGACCAAGUUUCCAGCAGGAGAGAUGGAAAGAUAAUAUUAGCUGCUUUCGGUUAGCUCUGUGGGGAAAAAUUUUUUUUCUUGGGUAAAAUUUCAGUGAAUAAAUGGCAACAUAACAAAUCUUAAAACCUC